rnacentral:rRNA from 1 species
UUGCAACAAAUGGGCGAAAGCCUGAUGCAAGCAACGCCGCGUGAGGAUGACGGCUUUCGGGUUGUAAACCUCUUUAGUAGGGAAGAAGCGAGAGUGACGGUACUGCAGAAAAAGCACCGGCUAACUACGUGCCAGCAGCCGCGGUAAUACGUAGGGUGCAAGCGUUGUCCGGAAUUAUUGGGCGUAAAGAGCUCGUAGGCGGUUGUCGCGUCUGCUGUGAAAUCCCGAGGCUCAACCUCGGGCUUGCAGUGGGUACGGGCAGACUAGAGUGCGGUAGGGGAGAUUGGAAUUCCUGGUGUAGCGGUGGAAUGCGCAGAUAUCAGGAGGAACACCGAUGGCGAAGGCAGAUCUCUGGGCCGUAACUGACGCUGAGGAGCGAAAGCGUGGGGAGCGAACAGGAUUAGAUACCCUGGUAGUCCACGCCGUAAACGUUGGGCGCUAGAUGUAGGGACCUUUCCACGGUUUCUGUGUCGUAGCUAACGCAUUAAGCGCCCCGCCUGGGGAGUACGGCCGCAAGGCUAAAACUCAAAGGAAUUGACGGGGGCCCGCACAAGCGGCGGAGCAUGCGGAUUAAUUCGAUGCAACGCGAAGAACCUUACCAAGGCUUGACAUACACCGGAAACGGCCAGAGAUGGUCGCCCCCUUGUGGUCGGUGUACAGGUGGUGCAUGGUUGUCGUCAGCUCGUGUCGUGAGAUGUUGGGUUAAGUCCCGCAACGAGCGCAACCCUCGUUCUAUGUUGCCAGCGCGUUAUGGCGGGGACUCAUAGGAGACUGCCGGGGUCAACUCGGAGGAAGGUGGGGAUGACGUCAAAUCAUCAUGCCCCUUAUGUCUUGGGCUUCACGCAUGCUACAAUGGCCGGUACAAAGGGCUGCGAUACCGUAAGGUGGAGCGAAUCCCAAAAAGCCGGUCUCAGUUCGGAUUGAGGUCUGCAACUCGACCUCAUGAAGUCGGAGUCGCUAGUAAUCGCAGAUCAGCAACGCUGCGGUGAAUACGUUCCCGGGCCUUGUACACACCGCCCGUCAAGUCAUGAAAGUCGGUAACACCCGAAGCCGGUGGCCUAACCCUUGUGGGAGGAGCCGUCGAAAAGGGGGGGUUG